UCCAGUAGUCGUAAUAACGCAUCCGCUAUAUAUAUAUGUGUAUAUUUUAUUUUAUUUUAUUUUUUUUUUCCUUCAAGCGAAUCGAUUGUGAUGUAAAUCGAACCGUGAUUAACAACGAGGAAGUUAGAGUGUCGCGAACGGCCGAGAUUAAUUUAGUAAUUGUUAAUACUAUACCAGGCAAUGCGACACGUACAUAGCGACAUACCUGCUGUCGAAUUCGCCAGUCCGCUUAACGCUGAAACACAGAACACGUUCACGAUAUUAACAAGCGGAGUUAGUAACGUGUUUACAUAUUCAGCACGUAUAAACUUGGAAAUUUAUUUUAGCCGAUAACUCAACGUACGAAAUAAAAUAUUCGUCGUGCGAUAUCAUUGUUAUUGCGAUUACUUUGGCGUGCUUGGAGCGAUCGACCUCGAUCGCGGUUAACGAUAGAUAGACACGGAAGUAUAUAUAUAUGUAUAUGUAUAUACAUAUAUAUAUAUAUACAUAAGUGACAAGAAGAAGACAGAAGGAAUCGCGUUAAUUUAACGAGGAUUAUUAAGGAACAUGGACAAACACAAUUGGUUGCCGUUUCCGCCUGUCAUGGCAGCCAGGGUAACCAGGUUUUGCAUACUCAUCGGCGAUACUCCCGCAUUUGCUGCAACGUGCAUAAUCCAACACAGACGGAAUAAUUAGAUGGUAAAAUUGUAUACGUGCAAAGUGAUAACGCGAUUUCUCUAUAUUCCGUUACGUAAUUUCUUACAAUAUUUGGUCCAAAAAAAAAA